rnacentral:lncRNA from 1 species
UUCCCAGGUGAGCCCACCCAGGCCUCCCUCCCCCUUGGGAGCGUUUACCGCUGCGAAGUCUGCCUGCCCCUGGGCUGCCUGAUCCUGCGCGUCUCUGCAAAAGCCGCCUGGGAAGUUGGCGUCCAGUGCAGAGUCCAUUUGCCGAGCCCAGGGCUGUGCAGCCAGGAAGCCCUGGUCAUCCGGGAAGCGACCCAGGACGAGAGGCAGCUUCCCAGGCUGAGGGACUGCCUGGCAGCCAGGCUCAGCGCGGCCACCCGGGUGCAGGAGCUCAGCCCACAGCAAGGAAGGGAGACGCUGCUGUCGCUGGGAGUCCCCUACCUGGGCCAGCAGAACCUGGAAAGCGCUGAGCCCCCCGGACCCCAAGGGGCUUCUGCUCCUGAGCCCGUCGCAGCCGUGGGCACGGCUGGGCAGCAGCCGUGCCCCCUCCUCCUUCCCUGGCACCCCUAUGCCAGAAAGAGGGCCGGGGAGGCAGUCCUGCCGCAGCUGGAGAAGAAGUCCAAGGUCCUGCCUGUGGAGCCUGCCGGCUACGCUUGGCUGCCGUGCGGCCAGGGUGCAGGUGUGAAGCCCACGUCCCACUCCGCAGCCCUCCUGGGGAGCCACAGCCCAGAAGGAGCCUUCCGUCCGUGUCCGGUAAGUGUUCAUGGGAGGCCCAAAAGCCGCCCUUGGAAAGAGGCAGCUUCCCCGAGCC